CAAUAGCGUAUAUUAAAGCUGUUGCGGUUAAAAAGCUGGUAAUUAAUUGGGUUUCUGUCAAGGACAACUGGUCCGCCCCCCGGGUUUUGGUCUUGACAUCUUGCUGGAAGCUGUUGCUGCACUUGGCUGUGUGGCGCAGUGUUCAGCACUUUCACUUUGAGGAAAUUGGAAUGUUUCAAGCAGGCACAUAGCUGUGGACAUAGUAGCAUGGAAUAAUUAGAUUGGGUUUUUGCUCCAGUUUGUCGGUUUCUGGAGUUGAGAUGAGUAUUAAUGGGGAUUGUUGGGUGCAUCCGAUUUAGUCGUCAUGGAUUUUUCAAUGACGGACAACCGCGAAAGCGUUUGCCCAAGAUGUUUUCAUUGA
rnacentral:rRNA from 1 species